rnacentral:rRNA from 1 species
ACAUCAGUGGCAUCGCUGGGUAGCUAUGUUCGGUCAGGAUAAGCGCUGAAAGCAUAUAAGUGCGAAACCUAUCCCAAGAUAAGAUAUCCCUACCGUAAGGUAAUAAGGCUUGUUGUAGACUACGACGUUGAUAGGCCACAGGUGUACGUGCAGUAAUGCAUUUAGCCGAGUGGUACUAAUUAGCCGAACGGCUUUGUCAA